CAGGGACCAAGGCUGCAAUUUUCCUUAGGUUUUAAUAUAAAAACCAGCAGCUGAUCUUUCUGGGUUCCGCCGUCUGCUUCUUUCUUUCUUUUUAUUUUUUUUUCAUUUUCUUUUUAUUUAUUUUUUUCAUUUUCUUUUCAUUUUUUUUUAUUUUCAUUUUACUCAAUAUUUUGGGGAUUAAAUCAAGGAGCACACAAAGGAGAAUACAUUAAGGUGGAGAAAUCUUGGGGAAAUCAAGUUCAAGCUACAAAAAUGGGGUUUUAUCUAUAAACUUAUAUUUUCUCCAUUAUUUUGUCAUAUUUGUAAUGCAUUGCUAUAAAUAUUCUC
rnacentral:lncRNA from 1 species